CCUACGGGUGGCAGCAGUAGGGAAUCUUCCUCAAUGGGCGAAACCCUGAAGCAGCAACGCCGCGUGGAUGAUGAAGGUUUUCGGAUCGUAAAACCCUGUUGUUAGAGAAGAUAGUGACGGUAUCUAACGAAUAAGGACCCGCUAACUCCGUACCAGCAGCCGCGGUAAUACGGAGGGUGAAAGCGUUACUCGGAAUUACUGGGCGUAAAGAGCGCGUAGGCGGGAUAGCAAGUCAGAUGUGAAAUCCUAGGGCUUAACCAUAGGACUGCAUUUGAAACUGUUAGUCUAGAGUGUGGGAGAGGUGGGUGGAAUUCUUGGUGUAGGGGUAAAAUCCGUAGAGAUAUAGAGGAAUACUAAUUGCGAAGGCGACCUGCUAGAACAUAACUGACGCUGAGGUGCGAAAGCGUGGGUAGCAAACAGGAUUAGAUACCCUUGUAGUC
rnacentral:rRNA from 1 species